UCUAACCUGCCCAAUGAGGAUUUAAAUGGCCGCAGUAUUUUGACUGUGCAAAGGUAGCAUAAUUAUUAGUUUUUUAAUUGAAAGCUUGUAUGAAGGGUUGGACGAGAUGAAAUCUGUCUUUAUUUAAAUUAAAAUAUAAUUUAACUUUUAAGUAAAAAGGCUUAAAUGUUUAUAAAAGACGAGAAGACCCUAUAGAUCUUUAUUUAAUUAAAAUUUUAAUAAUUUAGGAUUAUUUUAAUUUAAAGUUUUAACUAAAUUUUAUUGGGGUAAUAUAAAGAUUAAAUAAAUUCUUUUUAUUUAUAACAUUGAUUUAUGAAUAUAUGAUCCAUUAAUAUUGAUUAUAAGAUUAAGUUACCUUAGGGAUAACAGCGUAAUUUUUUUGGAGAGCUCAUAUCGAUAAAAAAGUUUGCGACCUCGAUGUUGGAUUAAAAAUUAGCUUGGGUGCAGAAGCUUAAGAUUUUGGUCUGUUCGACCAUUAAAUUUUUACAUGAUCUGAGUUCAGACCGGCGUGAGCCAGGUCGGUUUCUAUCUUUAUUAAGAUAAAAUGUUUUAGUACGAAAGGACCAAAUAUUUAAUAUAAUUAUAUUUAUUUUUUGAAGAAUAUU
rnacentral:rRNA from 1 species